AUUGAACGCUGGCGGCAUGCUUUACACAUGCAAGUCGAACGGCAGCGCGGGCUUCGGCCUGGCGGCGAGUGGCGAACGGGUGAGUAAUACAUCGGAACGUGCCUAGUAGUGGGGGAUAGCUCGGCGAAAGCCGGAUUAAUACCGCAUACGACCUGAGGGUGAAAGCGGGGGAUCUUCGGACCUCGCGCUAUUGGAGCGGCCGAUGGCAGAUUAGCUAGUUGGUGGGGUAAAGGCCUACCAAGGCGACGAUCUGUAGCUGGUCUGAGAGGACGACCAGCCACACUGGGACUGAGACACGGCCCAGACUCCUACGGGAGGCAGCAGUGGGGAAUUUUGGACAAUGGGCGAAAGCCUGAUCCAGCAAUGCCGCGUGUGUGAUGAAGGCCUUCGGGUUGUAAAGCACUUUUGGCGGGAACGAAAAGGACUGUGCCAAUACCACGGUUCGAUGACGGUACCCGCAGAAUAAGCACCGGCUAACUACGU
rnacentral:rRNA from 1 species